rnacentral:rRNA from 1 species
UAACCCGCUGAAUUUAAGCAUAUAAGUAAGCGGAGGAAGAGAAACUAACGAGGAUUCCCUCAGUAGCGGCGAGUGAAGCGGGAAAAGCCCAGCACCGAAUCCCCCCGGCCGCAGAGCCGUCGCGUGGGAAAUGUGGUGUAUGGGACGCCGAUGGUCGGCGGGUGCGGCGGGCCUGUCCCUCCUCUGGAGUGCCGACACCCCGAGCGGGUGAGAGGCCUCUGCGGGCCCGUCCCCCCGUCGACCGCGGCGUCUCGGGAGUCAGGUUGCUUGAGAGUGCAGCCUAAAGCGGGUGGUAAACUCCAUCUAAGGCUAAAUACUGUCCGGGAGUGCGAUAGUCGACAAGUACCGCGAGGGAACGUUGAAACAGAACUUUGAAAAGAGAGUUCAAAAGGACGUGAAACCGUUCAAAGGUAAACGGGUGGAACCCACGGGAAGAAACCUCGAAUCUCCCACUCCGCACGGAUUCCCGCUUCGCCGAGCUCCUGGCGGGGGGCCUCCCGUCCGCUCAAGCCCGCGUCGUCGGCCGCCUCCGCGCGCCGGCGCUCGCGGUCGCGGGACGGUCCCCUCCGCGGUUCGCGUCGCGGCUACGAUCCCGGGGCGGUUGAGGUAGGGGGCACGCGUCACGGCGACCUUCCUAAUGUCGGCCCCCGAGCGCAUCGGGGGUCGGCGCGAGCAAGCGCGGGCGUGGGCCGCCGGGCUCGGCCGUGCGGGGCCAAGGGACUCGCGUCCCCCCUCGCGCGCGUCGGCCCGGACGGCGAAAACACGAAUCCGCCGGGGAGGCCGCAAGGACCUGCGUCGGUAUGUGCGUCUCGUGGUUCCCGGGGGCUCGCCGCCCCCGGGGCCGGGCCAGAAUCCAGGGGCGAUCGGUCGGCUGCUCGGCUCUCUCGGCCGCGGGCGAGGCUCUGGAUACGGGCGCGCGCUCUCUGCGCGCCGUGUCCGCCGCGGCAAACCCCCGCGAGUCCGGCCCGACCGUCCCGAAUCCGCUGACUGGCUUGGGGCGGGCGGUGCCAAGGCACCCCCUCCGCCAAGGCGACAGGCAGGCUCGCCCGUCGCCCGGUGGGACGCUCUGCCCGAAGGGCCUGUGAUGGUACGAGGGUCGUCCACCCGACCCGUCUUGAAACACGGACCAAGAAGUCUAACUUGUGCGCGAGUCAUCGGGCCUGUACGAACCCCAAAGGCGAAGUGAAAGCGUCGGUCGCGCUCCCGCGCCUCCGUGGUCUUCGGCGAGCACCCUCUGGGCGGUCCGUAACCGGCCGGCGCGCGCCGCGCUCUCGGGCGCCGCCGGUCAGACUCGGGACGCCCGCUCGUCGCGGGGUGGUCCGUCCUCGGACGGUCCCCGGCGAGGCCCCGUCGGCCUGUAAGAGUGGCGCGGACAGCUGCACGCAUGGGCGGGAUCCCGGGAGGCCCUCCGCCGAGUGGCUCCCGGGCGCACCGCCGACCCGUCUCAACGUCGCCGCUGCUCGGCGAGGCGGAGUCUGAGCGCACAGGUUGGGACCCGAAAGAUGGUGAGCUAUGCUUGGGCAGGACGAAGCCGGA